AGCGAACGCUGGCGGCAGGCCUAACACAUGCAAGUCGAACGAAGCCUUCGGGCUUAGUGGCGGACGGGUGAGUAACACGUGGGAACGUACCUUUUGGUUCGGAAUAACGCAGAGAAAUUUGCGCUAAUACAGAAUGAGCACUUAGGGGGAAAGAUUUAUCGCCGAAAGAUCGGCCCGCGUUGGAUUAGGUAGUUGGUGUGGUAAAGGCGCACCAAGCCUACGAUCCAUAGCUGGUCUGAGAGGAUGAUCAGCCACACUGGGACUGAGACACGGCCCAGACUCCUACGGGAGGCAGCAGUGGGGAAUCUUGCGCAAUGGGCGAAAGCCUGACGCAGCCAUGCCGCGUGAAUGAUGAAGGUCUUAGGAUUGUAAAAUUCUUUUACCAGGGACGAUAAUGACGGUACCUGGAGAAAAAGCCCCGGCUAACUUCGUGCCAGCCGCCGCCGUAACAC
rnacentral:rRNA from 1 species